GAUGAACGCUGGCGGCGUGCCUAAUACAUGCAAGUCGAGCGAACGGACGAGGAGCUUGCUCCUUUGACGUUAGCGGCGGACGGGUGAGUAACACGUGGAUAACCUACCUAUAAGACUGGGAUAACUUCGGGAAACCGGAGCUAAUACCGGAUAAUAUAUUGAACCGCAUGGUUCAAUAGUGAAAGACGGUUUUGCUGUCACUUAUAGAUGGAUCCGCGCCGCAUUAGCUAGUUGGUAAGGUAACGGCUUACCAAGGCUACGAUGCGUAGCCGACCUGAGAGGGUGAUCGGCCACACUGGAACUGAGACACGGCCCAGACUCCUACGGGAGGAAGCAGUAGGGAAUCUUCCGCAAUGGGCGAAAGCCUGACGGAGCAACGCCGCGUGAGUGAUGAAGGUCUUCGGAUCGUAAAACUCUGUUAUUAGGGAAGAACAAAUGUGUAAGUAACUAUGCACGUCUUGACGGUACCUAAUCAGAAAGCCACGGCUAACUACGUG
rnacentral:rRNA from 1 species